GUCUAGUGAAAAAAAUUUCUUCAUCUGAGAAUAUUCAUAUCCUACCUACCUCCUGCAAGAUAGUACAGAAAAUGCUGUGGACAUUGAAAAACUGGCCUGGGAAUAUGCAGUCUUCAAGUGAACCACUUACCAUACACCAACACCCUGUCAUGGAGACGCUGCCUGGUGGUAAGUGCAUCUUCCUCUGUGUCCAACAUCAACAAAACGGGCAAAUACUCUAAUUUCGCGGACUAGGUGAAAGAGGAAGGCACACUAUGUGCUAAGACAAGAAGUUAGAACUUUCUUCCACCAUCAUAUGCUUAAUUAAUGGUAGGCCAACUUAGAGAAUUACAGCAUUCGUGAA
rnacentral:lncRNA from 1 species